CAGUCGCCGCGGGAAUACAGAGGGUGCGAGCGUUAAUCGGAUUUACUGGGCGUAAAGCGUGCGUAGGCGGCUUCUUAAGUCGGAUGUGAAAUCCCUGAGCUUAACUUAGGAAUUGCAUUCGAUACUGGGAAGCUAGAGUAUGGGAGAGGAUGGUAGAAUUCCAGGUGUAGCGGUGAAAUGCGUAGAGAUCUGGAGGAAUACCGAUGGCGAAGGCAGCCAUCUGGCCUAAUACUGACGCUGAGGUACGAAAGCAUGGGGAGCAAACAGGAUUAGAUACCCCGGUAGUCCCUGUCUCUUAUCC
rnacentral:rRNA from 1 species